rnacentral:rRNA from 1 species
AUUAGCGGCGGACGGGUGAGUAACACGUGAGUAACCUGCCUUAGACAUUGGGAUAGCCUCGGGAAACCGGGAUUAAUACCAAAUAAAAUCAUAAUGACACAUGUCAUAACGAUCAAAACUCCGGUGGUCUAAGAUGGACUCGCGUCCCAUUAGCUAGUUGGUAGAGUAAAAGCCUACCGAGGCGACGAUGGGUAGCCGGCCUGAGAGGGUGAACGGCCACAUUGGAGCUGAGAAACGGUCCAA